GAUGAACGCUGGCGGCGUGCCUAACACAUGCAAGUCGAGCGAUUUACUUCGGUAAAGAGCGGCGGACGGGUGAGUAACGCGUGGGUAACCUGCCCUGUACACACGGAUAACAUACCGAAAGGUAUGCUAAUACGGGAUAAUAUGCUUUUAUCGCAUGGUAGAAGUAUCAAAGCUCCGGCGGUACAGGAUGGACCCGCGUCUGAUUAGCUAGUUGGUAAGGUAACGGCUUACCAAGGCGACGAUCAGUAGCCGACCUGAGAGGGUGAUCGGCCACAUUGGAACUGAGACACGGUCCAAACUCCUACGGGAGGCAGCAGUGGGGAAUAUUGCACAAUGGGCGAAAGCCUGAUGCAGCAACGCCGUGUGAGCGAUGAAGGCCUUCGGGUCGUAAAGCUCUGUCCUCAAGGAAGAUAAUGACGGUACUUGAGGAGGAAGCCCCGGCUAACUACGUGCCAGCAGCCGCGGUAAUACGUAGGGGGCUAGCGUUAUCCGGAAUUACUGGGCGUAAAGGGUGCGUAGGUGGUUUCUUAAGUCAGAGGUGAAAGGCUACGGCUCAACCGUAGUAAGCCUUUGAAACUGGGAAACUUGAGUGCAGGAGAGGAGAGUGGAAUUCCUAGUGUAGCGGUGAAAUGCGUAGAUAUUAGGAGGAACACCAGUUGCGAAGGCGGCUCUCUGGACUGUAACUGACACUGAGGCACGAAAGCGUGGGGAGCAAACAGGAUUAGAUACCCUGGUAGUCCACGCCGUAAA
rnacentral:rRNA from 1 species